AAUAUCAUAAUACUUGGCGAAAUUUCAUGCAGGGGCUGUGUUGCUAACAAUCCAACACUCAUCUCUCGAUCCUUUGAGAUUCCGAUCUCUCCCUUUCAGCUUCGCUUUAGCACAUUCCAGCAGUUUGCAGCUUCUGAGACGUGGCAAUGCUCUGUGCCCUCAGUCUAACUCAAACACUUUCUACAGAAUAAUUUACGAUUCUUUGCAAACAGUGUUAAAGUUGAUGGAACACAUUUUAUUUCUGUGCAAAUGAUGAUUUUGGGGAUCCGGAAUUACAACAACUGUUUAUCCAUGAGCUUUGAAGGAAGAUCCCACAGCAUGUUAAAGAAGCAUCAUGAACAGAGUAUCUAAAGUAAAGCUACCAGAAAUUUUCCAACUCACGUUUGCUUCUCUUCAAACAUCUUUAGAAUAUUUACCGACUUGGCAAUGGCAUUCCUAGAAACCUCAAAUAAAAUGGACUUCAUCCUAAAGGUGAAGAUCAUGGAUGAUUUGUGAUUCUAAACAUUGGCUUUAGAAGCACAUCAUUCUAAAGACAAAGAGGGAAAGGGAUAUCCCAACACUUAUGCGUUUAAAAGAUUCUUGGAAACCUAGAAGAUGAUGACAUCCUUCGAGACAAUAAGGAAUUGAAUUUGCAAUCCCAACACUGCCCAAUGUAGAAGAUGAUUUACAUACAUUAAAUAAACAUGCCCUGGAAGUAAUCACCUUUAUGUUUCUUGUUUAUCUUUCCAUCAAGACCCAAACAUUUUUUAAGAGACGUGUUUUGUUUCAUUUCAAACUAUGCUUUUAAAGUGUAAUCCAGUUCCUAUUUCAAAUACAGAAAUCAGUACUGAUAAAGCAAAAUACUUUCUAGAACAGUCACAUUGCUGAAUUAACGGAAAAGUUUUCUACUUUCUGCUUGACUAGUUACAAUGGGCUCAUUGCCUGCAAUAUUAACUAGGCAGCAGAUGUACAUCCAACAAAUUUCAAUGCCUCUGUUUGCAGCGUUUUACUGCAGUCAUCACCUCAUUACCAUUUUACUUCUGGUUUGGCAUCAGUUGCAUGGCAACAGAUGUGCUCAGCAGCUACAAAGUGCACACACAGCCACAGACUGUAAAGAGCUGGUCCACAGCUAGGGUUGAAAUGGAUUCAGGGUUGGAAGCAAGAGAGGAACAAAUUUCACAUUGGAUUCAGGACAGGUAAAGGCUGAACUCAGAUUUAACAACAACAAAUCUUUUUUGCGCAUUUAACAGAAUGAAAUUUCUCAAGGCACUUCACAGGACUGUAAGUUUCUUGCUAAACUUUGAAUAACCCUCAACUCUGAAUAAGUUACUAGUCUAAUGAUACUACUCUAUAUUAAUCCAGUUUUUUUCCAUUGAAUACAAAAUUGUCGUUUUCGUCUUCAAACCCCUCAUUGCCUCAUUUCCCUAAUCCUGCAACCUAUGGAGUCUUAAGUGUCAAUGUUUAUCCAUUGCUUUUUCAACUUUAGCUUUCUUUUUGUCCCUCUUUCAACUCUCUAUAAUCAUUUGUGAGCUUUCAGCCAUUUUAUCACACACUCUGGAACUCUUUCCAUAAUAACCAGUGCUUUGCGAACAUUUGUGUCUUCUAUCUAUUAACUCCACUGCCAGUGAAAAUAGUUUCUCCUUAAUUUCUUAAAACUCUGCAUUGCCUUGAAUGCAUCUAUUAAAGUCCCCAAAAUCUUCUCCGUUGUGAGGAGAACGUCUUAACUUCUCAACAAUUCUGAAGAAAGGUGACAGGACUCGAAAUGUUAACUCAGUUUUCUCUACACAGAUGUGUUUCUUCAGUACUUUCUGUGUUUGUUUGAUUCAGAUCGCAAGCAUUCACAGUUCUUUGUUUUAUUGCCCCAACGUCUCUGGUAUUUUCAUAAAACUGAAAACUUUCAUCCUGAUACUAUUUAGUAAAUCUUUGCACCUUUUCCAAAGCCUUUUCCAUCUUUCUUAAAGAGUGGUGUCCAAAAUUGGAUACAACGAGAUCCAUUUUAAUGUGUGCUAGUUUGGAUUGGAUUAAAAUUGGGCCUAAUAUCUCCACUGAGGCCUAACUAGUGAUUUGUAGCGGUUUAACAUAACUUGCUUGUGUUCAAUAUUUGUAUAACCCAGAACUCCACAUAGUUUUUUAAACAAGUUUAUCAAUUUGAUGUGCCAUUUUUUCACAGAUUUCCAUACCAGAAUUUUCUUGUUGCUUCUGUAAAUAAGCAAGUUGCCAGAAGAAAUAUGUGUUUUAUCACCACAUACAUGCAUUUUAAAAUUUAUUCAGCUCAAAUGGUCACUGGAAAUAAACAAACUAUCUUGGUUCCAGGAGCACACUGUGAUAAUUCUACUUUUUGUCCUCAGAGUUAUAAUUAUAGAUAUUGCUUUCAUUAGCUCUCAGAUGUGUACACCGCAAAAAUAUUGAAACAGUGAAUCCUGAGCUUGUAUCAAAUUGAAGACAAUGUAAUUGUUCCCCAUUAGUUUAUUUCACACUCCUUUGCAUUUAAUUCAUUUGUACUGAAGUGAAUAUAAGUUUUUUAGUA